UACGUAGGUGGCAAGCGUUGUCCGGAUUUACUGGGCGUAAAGAGCGCGCAGGCGGUUGGAUAAGUCGAAGUGUGAAAGCCCCCCGGCUCAACUGGGGAGGGUCAUUCGAUACUGAUCGACUCGAAGGCAGGAGAGGGUAGUGGAAUUCCCGGUGUAGUGGUGAAAUGCGUAGAUAUCGGGAGGAACACCAGUGGCGAAGGCGACUACCUGGCCUGUUCUUGACGCUGAGGCGCGAAAGCUAGGGGAGCAAACGGGG
rnacentral:rRNA from 1 species